ACGUACACUCCUGCGGGAGGCAGCAGUGGGGAAUAUUGGGCAAUGGGCGCAAGCCUGAUCCAGCCAUGCCGCGUGAGUGAUGAAGGCCCUAGGGUUGUAAAGCUCUUUCACCGGUGAAGAUAAUGACGGUAACCGGAGAAGAAGCCCCGGCUAACUUCGUGCCAGCAGCCGCGGUAAUACGAAGGGGGCUAGCGUUGUUCGGAUUUACUGGGCGUAAAGCGCACGUAGGCGGACUAUUAAGUCAGGGGUGAAAUCCCGGGGCUCAACCCCGGAACUGCCUUUGAUACUGGUAGUCUUGAGUUCGAGAGAGGUGAGUGGAAUUCCGAGUGUAGAGGUGAAAUUCGUAGAUAUUCGGAGGAACACCAGUGGCGAAGGCGGCUCACUGGCUCGAUACUGACGCUGAGGUGCGAAAGCGUGGGGAGCAAACAGGAUUAGAUACCCCAGUAGUCCC
rnacentral:rRNA from 1 species